UUCAAAACACACUGAUACAUAGUUCUAUAAUAAAUCAUACCUUUAACAUGUUUUCUUAUACAGAAUACAGCAAUAACCUCCAAGAGGACAUUUAUUCAGAGACCUCGGGACACUUCAGAGAUACUCUCAUGAACUUGGUCCAGGGGACCAGAGAGGAAGGAUAUACAGACCCUGUGAUAGCUGCUCAGGAUGCAAUGGUCCUAUGGGAAGCCUGUCAGCAGAAGACGGGGGAGCACAAAACCAUGCUGCAAAUGAUCCUGUGCAACAAGAGCUACCAGCAGCUGUGGCUGGUUUUCCAGGAAUUUCAAAAUAUUUCUGGGCAAGAUAUGGUAGAUGCCAUUAAUGAAUGUUAUGAUGGAUACUUUCAGGAGCUGCUGGUUGCAAUUGUUCUCUGUGUUCGAGACAAACCAGCCUAUUUUGCUUAUAGAUUAUAUAGUGCAAUUCAUGACUUUGGUUUCCAUAAUAAAACUGUAAUCAGGAUUCUCAUUGCCAGAAGUGAAAUAGACCUGCUGACCAUAAGGAAACGAUACAAAGAGCGAUAUGGAAAAUCCCUAUUUCAUGAUAUCAGAAAUUUUGCUUCAGGGCAUUAUAAGAAAGCACUGCUUGCCAUCUGUGCUGGUGAUGCUGAGGACUACUAAAAUGAAGAGGACUUGGAGUACUGUGCACUCCUCUUUCUAGACACUUCCAAAUAGAGAUGUUCUCACAAAUUUGUACUGUUCAUGGCACUAUUAACAAAACUAUACAAUCAUAUUUUCUCUUCUAUCUUUGAAAUUAUUCUAAGCCAAAUAAAACUAUGAAUGAAAGUAUAUGAUACUGAAUUUGCCUACUAUCUAAUCAGCAAUUAAAUAAAUUGUGCACGAUGGAAUAAUAGAAAAA
rnacentral:sRNA from 1 species